GACGAACGCUGGCGGCGUGCCUAAUACAUGCAAGUCGAACGAACUCUGGUAUUGAUUGGUGCUUGCAUCAUGAUUUACAUUUGAGUGAGUGGCGAACUGGUGAGUAACACGUGGGAAACCUGCCCAGAAGCGGGGGAUAACACCUGGAAACAGAUGCUAAUACCGCAUAACAACUUGGACCGCAUGGUCCGAGUUUGAAAGAUGGCUUCGGCUAUCACUUUUGGAUGGUCCCGCGGCGUAUUAGCUAGAUGGUGAGGUAACGGCUCACCAUGGCAAUGAUACGUAGCCGACCUGAGAGGGUAAUCGGCCACAUUGGGACUGAGACACGGCCCAAACUCCUACGGGAGGCAGCAGUAGGGAAUCUUCCACAAUGGACGAAAGUCUGAUGGAGCAACGCCGCGUGAGUGAAGAAGGGUUUCGGCUCGUAAAACUCUGUUGUUAAAGAAGAACAUAUCUGAGAGUAACUGUUCAGGUAUUGACGGUAUUUAACCAGAAAGCCACGGCUAACUACGUGCCAGCAGCCGCGGUAAUACGUAGGUGGCAAGCGUUGUCCGGAUUUAUUGGGCGUAAAGCGAGCGCAGGCGGUUUUUUAAGUCUGAUGUGAAAGCCUUCGGCUCAACCGAAGAAGUGCAUCGGAAACUGGGAAACUUGAGUGCAGAAGAGGACAGUGGAACUCCAUGUGUAGCGGUGAAAUGCGUAGAUAUAUGGAAGAACACCAGUGGCGAAGGCGGCUGUCUGGUCUGUAACUGACGCUGAGGCUCGAAAGUAUGGGUAGCAAACAGGAUUAGAUACCCUGGUAGUCCAUACCGUAAACGAUGAAUGCUAAGUGUUGGAGGGUUUCCGCCCUUCAGUGCUGCAGCUAACGCAUUAAGCAUUCCGCCUGGGGAGUACGGCCGCAAGGCUGAAACUCAAAGGAAUUGACGGGGGCCCGCACAAGCGGUGGAACAUGUGGUUAAAUUCGAAGCUACGCGAAGAACCUUACCAGGUCUUGACAUACUAUGCAAAUCUAAGAGAUUAGACGUUCCCUUCGGGGACAUGGAUACAGGUGGUGCAUGGUUGUCGUCAGCUCGUGUCGUGAGAUGUUGGGUUAAGUCCCGCAACGAGCGCAACCCUUAUUAUCAGUUGCCAGCAUUAAGUUGGGCACUCUGGUGAGACUGCCGGUGACAAACCGGAGGAAGGUGGGGAUGACGUCAAAUCAUCAUGCCCCUUAUGACCUGGGCUACACACGUGCUACAAUGGAUGGUACAACGAGUUGCGAACUCGCGAGAGUAAGCUAAUCUCUUAAAGCCAUUCUCAGUUCGGAUUGUAGGCUGCAACUCGCCUACAUGAAGUCGGAAUCGCUAGUAAUCGCGGAUCAGCAUGCCGCGGUGAAUACGUUCCCGGGCCUUGUACACACCGCCCGUCACACCAUGAGAGUUUGUAACACCCAAAGUCGGUGGGGUAACCUUUUAGGAACCAGCCGCCUAAGGUGGGACAGAUGAUUAGGGUG
rnacentral:rRNA from 1 species